AGAGUUUGAUCCUGGCUCAGAAUCAACGUUGGCGGCGCGCUUAACACAUGCAAGUCGAACGAGAAAGUGGAGCAAUCCAUGAGUAAAGUGGCGUACGGGUGAGUAACACGUGGGUAUCCAUUCUUUGGUGGGGAAUAACUUUGGGAAACCGAAGCUAAUACCGCAUAAGUCCGAGAGGAGAAAGGUGAAAAUCGCCGAAGAGGGAGCCCGCGGCUGAUUAGCUAGUUGGUGAGGUAACGGCCCACCAAGGCGAAGAUCGGUAGCCGGCCUGAGAGGGCACACGGCCACACUGGCACUGGGACACGGGCCAGACUCCUACGGGAGGCAGCAGUGGGGAAUCUUGCACAAUGGGGGAAACCCUGAUGCAGCGACGCCGCGUGAACGAUGAAGCCCUUCGGGGUGUAAAGUUCUUUCGGCAGGAACGAUAAUGACGGUACCUGAAGAAGAAGCUGCGGCUAACUACGUGCCAGCAGCCGCGGUAAUACGUAGGCAGCAAACGUUGUUCGGAGUUACUGGGCGUAAAGAGUACGUAGGCGGUUUGCCAAGUUUGGUGUGAAAUCUCCUGGCUUAACUGGGAGGGUGCGCCGAAUACUGGCGGGCUUGAGUAUUGGAGAGGAAAGCGGAAUUCCUGGUGUAGCGGUGAAAUGCGUAGAUAUCAGGAGGAACACCGGUGGUGUAGACNGCUUUCUGGACAAUCACUGACGCUG
rnacentral:rRNA from 1 species